UGCGAUCCCAAGGUUCACUGCGGUUUUCCACAAGAUGCAGAAACAUUUGACAUAUGAAUUCAUCUUGACUAAGGCACUUCAUCUGAACAGUCACAACCUCACAGAGCUGCACAACUGCCCCACUCAAGAUCAGUGUUGAAGCUGGAACCUCAUCUUGUGUACAGCAAAGGCAGAGCUGAAAAUUCACUGUCUGUCUUGUAUUGUGUGUGGCAAAACCUGGAAUAACACAUGGGAGCCCUCCAGGAAUUCCUGACACUUUACGCCUAAGUCUCCUCAUGCUAACCGGAUUGCAAUAUGACAGUCUAGUCAGCAUAAACACCUGGACUCACCAAGCACACUUUGGUUCUCAGUGUUUUGUACAAAUUG